rnacentral:tRNA from 1 species
GUUCAGUCGGUAGAACGGCGGACUGUUAAUCCGUAUGUCGCUGGUUCAAGUCCAGCAGGAGGAG